rnacentral:tRNA from 1 species
UCUACUAAAGGAAAAUAGCCUUCC